UACGUAGGGUGCAAGCGUUGUCCGGAAUUAUUGGGCGUAAAGAGCGUGUAGGCGGCCCGGUAAGUCCGCUGUGAAAGUCUAGGGCUCAACCCUGGAAUGCCGGUGGAAACUGUCGGGCUAGAGUCCGGAAGAGGCGAGUGGAAUUCCUGGUGUAGCGGUGAAAUGCGCAGAUAUCAGGAGGAACACCAAUGGCGAAGGCAGCCCCUGGCUAACACUGACGCUCAUGCACGAAAGCGUGGGGAGCAAACAGG
rnacentral:rRNA from 1 species